UCUCCGGUUCUAGUCAAU
rnacentral:snRNA from 1 species